rnacentral:rRNA from 1 species
GACGAACGCUGGCGGCGCGCUUAACACAUGCAAGUCGAACGGAAAGGCCUGCUUUCCCUUGUGGAUUGCGGGUACUCGAGUGGCGAACGGGUGAGUAACACGUGAGUGAUCUGCCCCCAACUUGGGUAUAAGCCUGGGAAACUGGGUCUAAUUCCCGAUAGGACUGCAGGGUGGUGCCUGUGGUGGAAAACGAUUUUCUAGUGGUUGGGGAUGAGCUCGCGGCCUAUCAGCUUGUUGGUGGGGUAAUGGCCUACCAAGGCGGCGACGGGUAGCCGGCCUGGGAGGGUGGACGGCCACAUUGGGACUGAGAUACGGCGCAGACGCCUACGGGAGGCAGCAGUGGGGAAUAUUGCACAAUGGGCGGAAGCCUGAUGCAGCGACGCCGCGUGGGGGAUGACGGCCUUCGGGUUGUAAACUCCUUUCGACCGCGAGGAAGCCACCUGGUUGGAAGGGUGGUGACGGUAGUGGUAGAAGAAGCACCGGCUAACUACGUG